GUAAUUUCAGCCACAGGUUCCUGUCAGAGAAAUCCUGAUCUUGAAACUAAGAUUUUACAAGUUCUUUGAUUAAAGAAUCCCCAGGAAUAAGAAAAGCACGGUGCAUUGCCCUGUUUAGGAUCACUGCUGAUCUUGUUUCUCAUAUUACCACCCCUGCACAGUGUAGAAUCCUUGUGGGCCAUGUGCACAGAGAUCUCUGCCCCUCUUAGUCCAGCCCCUGCAGGUUGUAAAUGGACCUUGUUACAGAGCUGGAGGGGGCUUCGGGAGCGCCGCUCCUGAGUGGCCGUGGCUCUCACCGUCAGGCUGAUUAUAUGUAGAGCCCUGCUAUGUGUGGAUUGCUUAUGGUGGAUUUAUGAGGUGUAAACUGACCAGAAUUUG
rnacentral:lncRNA from 1 species